rnacentral:tRNA from 1 species
CCUUCGAUAGCUCAGUUGGUAGAGCGGUGGACUGUAGUCGUUGUGUGUAUAGGAAUCCAUAGGUCGCUGGUUCGAAUCCGGCUCGAAGGA